rnacentral:rRNA from 1 species
GUUAUAGGAUCAAGUGACUAAGUGCACAUGGUGGAUGCCUUGGCGAUCACAGGCGAUGAAGGACGCGAUAGCCUGCGAAAAGCUACGGGGAGUUGGCAAAUAAGCAUUGAUCCGUAGAUAUCCGAAUGGGGAAACCCACUGGCGUAAGUCAGUAUCGUAUCGUGAAUUCAUAGCGAUACGAGGCGAACCGAGCGAACUGAAACAUCUAAGUAGCUCGAGGAAAAGAAAUCAACCGAGAUUCCGGCAGUAGUGGCGAGCGACCCCGGAGUAGCCUAGACGAGAUAGUCUAAUGUAUAGUCGAACAGCGUGGAAAAGCUGGCCGUAGUAGGUGAUAGCCCUGUAGACGAAAUGCGUUAGGUGGUACUAAGCGUCAGACAAGUAGAGCGGGACACGUGAAAUCCUGUUUGAAGAUGGGGGGACCAUCCUCCAAGGCUAAAUACUCGUGAUCGACCGAUAGUGAACCAGUACCGUGAGGGAAAGGCGAAAAGAACCCCGGGAGGGGAGUGAAAUAGAACCUGAAACCGUGUGCAUACAAACAGUAGGAGCCCCCUUUAAGGGCUUUCGGUGUGGUGGCACGCCACAUCAAAAGCGAUUUUAAGUAGUGAACUAGCUACGUGUAACGUAGUGAGCCAGCUACGAGAGAGUCUUUAAAGGGGGUGACUGCGUACCUUUUGUAUAAUGGGUCAGCGACUUACAUUCAGUGGCGAGCUUAACUGAUUAAGGCAGGCGUAGCGAAAGCGAGUUCGAAUAGAGCGCAUAGUCGCUGGAUGUAGACCCGAAACCGGAUGAUCUAUCCAUGGCCAGGUUGAAGGUGCGGUAACACGCACUGGAGGACCGGAACCCACUAAUGUUGAAAAAUUAGGGGAUGAGCUGUGGAUAGGAGUGAAAGGCUAAACAAAUCCGGAAAUAGCUGGUUCUCUCCGAAAACUAUUUAGGUAGUGCCUCACGUAUGGCUGUUGGGGGUAGAGCACUGUUAUGGCUAGGGGGUCAUAGCGACUUACCAACCCAUGGCAAACUCCGAAUACCGACAAGUCGAGCGUGGGAGUCAGACAGCGGGUGCUAACGUCCGUUGUCGAGAGGGAAACAACCCAGACCGCCAGCUAAGGUCCCUAAAAUUGGCUAAGUGGGAAACGAAGUGGGAAGGCAUAGACAGUCAGGAGGUUGGCUUAGAAGCAGCCACCCUUUAAAGAUAGCGUAAUAGCUCACUGAUCGAGUCGUCCUGCGCGGAAGAUGUACCGGGGCUAAGCCGGUUACCGAAGCUGCGGGCGUGAUUUAAUCACGUGGUAGGAGAGCGUUCUGUAGGCCUGAGAAGGUGAGUCGAGAGGCUUGCUGGAGGUAUCAGAAGUGAGAAUGCUGACAUGAGUAGCUAUAAAGGGGGUGAAAGUCCCCCUCGCCGUAAGUCCAAGGUUUCCUGCGCAACGUUCAUCGGCGCAGGGUGAGUCGGCCCCUAAGGUGAGGCAGAGAUGCGUAGCUGAUGGGAAGCUGGUUAAUAUUCCAGCACCGUGUUCAAAUGCGAUGGGGUGACGGAUUGCGAAAUGCGAGCGGGCGGUUGGAAGAGCCCGUGACUGGUACUAAGAAGGUGGUUAGGCAAAUCCGGCCACGAAAUUCAAGGUAUUGGUGCGAAGGAGCUACGGCUCUGAAGUUGUAGGCAGUGGUCCCGGGAAAAACCUCUAAGCUUCAGUUUGGACAUGACCGUACCGCAAACCGACACAGGUGGACGGGAUGAAUAUUCUAAGGCGCUUGAGAGAACUCAGGAGAAGGAACUCGGCAAAUUGAUACCGUAACUUCGGGAGAACGUAUGCCCCGGUAGCGUGUUAAAGCGUGAAGGGGCCGCAGUGAAUCGGUGGCUGCGACUGUUUAUUAAAAACACAGCACUCUGCAAACACGAAAGUGGACGUAUAGGGUGUGACGCCUGCCCGGUGCUGGAAGGUUAAGUGAUGGGGUGCAAGCUCUUGAUCGAAGCCCCAGUAAACGGCGGCCGUAACUAUAACGGUCCUAAGGUAGCGAAAUUCCUUGUCGGGUAAGUUCCGACCUGCACGAAUGGCGUAACGAUGGCCACACUGUCUCCUCCUGAGACUCAGCGAAGUUGACAUGGUUGUGACGAUGCAAUCUCCCCGCGGCUAGACGGAAAGACCCCAUGAACCUUUACUAUAGCUUCACAUUGGAUUGUUAACCGGCCUGUGUAGGAAUAGGUGGGAGGCGCUGAAGGCGGGACGCUAGUUUCGCUGGAGCCGUCCUUGAAAUACCACCCUGGUUUGUUGAUGGUUCUAACCUUGGCCCGUGAUCCGGGUUGGGGACAGUGUGUGGUGGGUAGUUUGACUGGGGCGGUCUCCUCCUAAACGGUAACGGAGGAGUUCGAAGGUACGCUAGGUACGGUCGGAAAUCGUGCUGAUAGUGCAUUGGCAAAAGCGUGCUUGACUGUGAGACUGACACGUCGAACAGGUGCGAAAGCAGGACAAAGUGAUCCGGUGGUUCUGAAUGGAAGGGCCAUCGCUCAACGGAUAAAAGGUACUCUGGGGAUAACAGGCUGAUACCGCCCAAGAGUUCAUAUCGACGGCGGUGUUUGGCACCUCGAUGUCGACUCAUCUCAUCCUGGGGCUGUAGCCGGUCCCAAGGGUAUGGCUGUUCGCCAUUUAAAGAGGUACGUGAGUUGGGUUUAAAACGUCGUGAGACAGUUUGGUCCCUAUCUGCCGUGGGCGUUGGAUACUUGACGGAGGCUGCUCCUAGUACGAGAGGACCGGAGUGGACGUACCGCUGGUGUACGGGUUGUCAUGCCAAUGGCAUUGCCCGGUAGCUAUGUACGGAAGAGAUAACCGCUGAAGGCAUCUAAGCGGGAAACUCGUCUGAAGAUAAGGUAUCCCGGAGGCUAGACCUCCCUGAAGGGUCGUUCGAGACCAGGACGUUGAUAGGCUGGGUGUGGAAGUGCAGUAAUGCAUGUAGCUAACCAGUACUAAUUGCCCGUGCGGCUUGAUCCUAUAACUCAG